ACUCAAAGGAAUUGACGGGGGCCCGCACAAGCAGCGGAGCAUGUGGUUUAAUUCGACGCAACGCGAAGAACCUUACCAGGUCUUGACAUCCAGUUAAAGCGUAAGAGAUUACGUGUGCCCUUCGGGGCGAACUGAGACAGGUGGUGCAUGGUUGUCGUCAGCUCGUGUCGUGAGAUGUUGGGUUAAGUCCCGCAACGAGCGCAACCCUUACGAUUAGUUGCCAGCGAGUAAAGUCGGGCACUCUAAUGGGACUGCCGGGGAUAACUCGGAGGAAGGUGGGGACGAUGUCAAAUCAUCAUGCCCCUUAUGACCUGGGCUACACACGUGCUACAAUGAUGCCUACAAAGGGAAGCGAAGCCGAGAGGCGGAGCGGAUCCCAAAAAAGGCGUCCCAGUUCGGAUUGUGGGCUGCAACCCGCCCACAUGAAGUCGGAGUUGCUAGUAAUCGCGAAUCAGCAUGUCGCGGUGAAUGCGUUCCCGGGCCUUGUACACACCGCCCGU
rnacentral:rRNA from 1 species